GCGGCUCUCGGAAACCUGCACUUUUGCCAAGGUUUGUCGCCUCCGGGUCCACCCCAGGGCCUGUGGAAGAUGGGAACGGUGCACCCACCCGAAGGGGGGGAGGUCAAGGCCUGGAGCCCUGCAGAGCUGCUCAGCUUUCCCCACAGGGCUGACGGGGAGGCCCAGCCCCAGCCCACCCGCCCAUUUCCUCAGCCCACCUGCCCCCUUCCCUGGCUUUCCUGCCUCCCUCCCUGGCUCACCUGCCCCCCUCCCCAGCUCACCCACCUCCUCUCCGGCCCACCUAUCACCCCCCCAGCUCACCCACCUCUUUGACAAUGAUGGCACGGUGGUGUUCGCCAUCUUCAUGGCUCUCUGGGCCACGGUGUUCCUGGAGAUCUGGAAGCGGCAGCGCGCCCGCGUGGUCCUGCACUGGGACCUGUACGUGUGGGACGAGGAACAGGUGAGGUGGAGCUGGCAGCGCAGCUGA
rnacentral:sRNA from 1 species